CCUACGGGUGGCAGCAGUGGGGAAUAUUGCACAAUGGGGGAAACCCUGAUGCAGCGACGCCGCGUGAAGGAAGAAGUAUUUCGGUAUGUAAACUUCUAUCAGCAGGGAAGAAAAUGACGGUACCUGACUAAGAAGCCCCGGCUAACUACGUGCCAGCAGCCGCGGUAAUACGUAGGGGGCAAGCGUUAUCCGGAUUUACUGGGUGUAAAGGGAGCGUAGGCGGUGCAGCAAGUCAGAAGUGAAAGCCCGGGGCUCAACUCCGGGACUGCUUUUGAAACUGUGUUUCUUGAGUGCUGGAGAGGCAAUCGGAAUUCCGUGUGUAGCGGUGAAAUGCGUAGAUAUACGGAGGAACACCAGUGGCGAAGGCGGAUUGCUGGACAGUAACUGACGCUGAGGCGCGAAAGCGUGGGGAGCAAACAGGAUUAGAUACCCCAGUAGUC
rnacentral:rRNA from 1 species